rnacentral:rRNA from 1 species
CUACGUGCCAGCAGCCGCGGUAAUACGUAGGGUGCGAGCGUUAAUCGGAAUUACUGGGCGUAAAGCGAGCGCAGACGGUUACUUAAGCAGGAUGUGAAAUCCCCGGGCUCAACCUGGGAACUGCGUUCUGAACUGGGUGACUAGAGUGUGUCAGAGGGAGGUAGAAUUCCACGUGUAGCAGUGAAAUGCGUAGAGAUGUGGAGGAAUACCGAUGGCGAAGGCAGCCUCCUGGGAUAACACUGACGUUCAUGCUCGAAAGCGUGGGUAGCAAACAGGAUUAGAUACCCUGGUAGUCCACGCCCUAAACGAUGUCAAUUAGCUGUUGGGCAACUUGAUUGCUUAGUAGCGUAGCUAACGCGCGAAAUUGACCGCCUGGGGAGUACGGUCGCAAGAUUAAAACUCAAAGGAAUUGACGGGGACCCGCACAAGCGGUGGAUGAUGUGGAUUAAUUCGAUGCAACGCGAAAAACCUUACCUACGCUUGACAU